rnacentral:rRNA from 1 species
CCUACGGGCGGCAGCAGUGAGGAAUAUUGGUCAAUGGACGCAAGUCUGAACCAGCCAUGCCGCGUGCAGGAAGACGGCUCUAUGAGUUGUAAACUGCUUUUGUACGAGGGUAAACUCAGAUACGCGUAUCUGUCUGAAAGUAUCGUACGAAUAAGGAUCGGCUAACUCCGUGCCAGCAGCCGCGGUAAUACGGAGGAUUAAAGCGUUAUCCGGAUUUAUUGGGUUUAAAGGGUGCGUAGGCGGUCGGAUAAGUUAGAGGGGAAAUCCCGAGGCUCAACUUCGGAAUUGCCUCUGAUACUGUUCGGCUAGAGAGUAGUUGCGGUAGGCGGAAUGUAUGGUGUAGCGGUGAAAUGCUUAGAGAUCAUACAGAACACCGAUUGCGAAGGCAGCUUACCAAGCUACUUCUGACGUUGAGGCACGAAAGCGUGGGGAGCAAACAGGAUUAGAUACCCUAGUAGUC